CAAGUAUACUGCAACUCAGGAGAUCAGUCUUGAGCGACUGGAUACCAACCGAAGAUGUUCCUCAAUCUUAUAUACGGCGCGAGACAGCUUCUCACUUUCCAUCGUGAUUUUCUCGGCUAGCCAAGACACAGGUAAACAAUGGUUGCUGUGCUGUAGAUAAUGUACAGGAAGGAAGAAUGACAGUGUCUUAUGGAAGAAUAUGAUGAAGGGACGAAGUGAGCACAGGCGCGGAAAACAGCUGCGAAUAAAUACACAAGACUAUGAAAAGUAGAUAAGUGAGAUCCUUCAUUACGCAAGAAUUCAACAUAUAGAAGAUGUGUCCAGAUUGUGGGUUUGUCUUUAGAUGAAAUGAACGUCGCAAAUGUAUGCUUUACACAUUAAUUUCGGCUGUCAAUACAUAUGAAAAUAUAAAAUAAAAUCUCAGGAGACUAAAAAUAACUUAACUAAAAUGAUAUAGAUACAACAUAACUGAGAAUUCUGUCUUAUAAAAUGUGAUAAUCUUUGUGUUCAUAAAUUAGUAUCAUAGCCUCUGUAUCUCUGUAGAUUAGAUCAAAAUUAAUUUUGUAUGCAAGACAUAGCGGCUUCGAAACCCAUUUAAUCAUUGUCCACAGUGAUUUAAAAUGUCAUAAUUGUUCAAAUUCUUCCUAAUGUAAUUCCGGAAGUAUGUAUUACAAUAUAUUACUGCGAUAUCCUUCCAAA